GACGAAGGUGGCGAGCGUUGUUCGGAAUCACUGGGCGUAAAGCGCACGUAGGCGGCGGCGUAAGUCGGAUGUGAAAUCCCUCGGCCCAACCGAGGAACUGCGUCCGAUACUGCGUUGCUUGAGGACCAAAGGGGUGCAUGGAAUUUCCGGUGGAGCGGUGAAAUGCGUUGAUAUCGGAAGGAACGUCGGCGGCGAAAGCGGUGCACUGGUUGGUCUCUGACGCUGAGGUGCGAAAGCCAGGGGAGCAAACGGG
rnacentral:rRNA from 1 species